rnacentral:rRNA from 1 species
GAUGAACGCUGGCGGCGUGCCUAAUACAUGCAAGUCGAGCGAACAGACGAGGAGCCUGCUCCUCUGACGUUAGCGGCGGACGGGUGAGUAACACGUGGAUAACCUACCUAUAAGACUGGGAUAACUUCGGGAAACCGGAGCUAAUACCGGAUAAUAUAUUGAACCGCAUGGUUCAAUAGUGAAAGACGGUUUUGCUGUCACUUAUAGAUGGAUCCGCGCCGCAUUAGCUAGUUGGUAAGGUAACGGCUUACCAAGGCAACGAUGCGUAGCCGACCUGAGAGGGUGAUCGGCCACACUGGAACUGAGACACGGUCCAGACUCCUACGGGAGGCAGCAGUAGGGAAUCUUCCGCAAUGGGCGAAAGCUUGACGGAGCAACGCCGCGUGAGUGAUGAAGGUCUUCGGAUCGUAAAACUCUGUUAUUAGGGAAGAACAAAUGUGUAAGUAACUAUGCACGUCUUGACGGUACCUAAUCAGAAAGCCGCGGCUAACUACGCG